rnacentral:rRNA from 1 species
UGGGGAAUAUUGGACAAUGGGCGCAAGCCUGAUCCAGCCAUGCCGCGUGAGUGAUGAAGGCCCUAGGGUUGUAAAGCUCUUUCACCGGUGAAGAUAAUGACGGUAACCGGAGAAGAAGCCCCGGCUAACUUCGUGCCAGCAGCCGCGGUAAUACGAAGGGGGCUAGCGUUGUUCGGAUUUACUGGGCGUAAAGCGCACGUAGGCGGACUAUUAAGUCAGGGGUGAAAUCCCGGGGCUCAACCCCGGAACUGCCUUUGAUACUGGUAGUCUUGAGUUCGAGAGAGGUGAGUGGAAGUCCGAGUGUAGAGGUGAAAUUCGGAGAUAUUCGGAGGAACACCAGUGGCGAAGGCGGCUCACUGGCUCGAUACUGACGCUGAGGUGCGAAAGCGUGGGGAGCAAACAGG